UACGAAGGGGGCUAGCGUUGUUCGGAAUUACUGGGCGUAAAGGGCGCGUAGGCGGUGCAUCAAGUCAGGCGUGAAAGCCCCGGGCUCAACCUGGGAACCGCGCUUGAGACUGGUGCGCUAGAGUUCGGGAGAGGAUGGUGGAAUUCCCAGUGUAGAGGUGAAAUUCGUAGAUAUUGGGAAGAACACCGAUGGCGAAGGCAGCCAUCUGGACCGACACUGACGCUGAGGCGCGAACGCGUGGGGAGCAAACAGG
rnacentral:rRNA from 1 species